AGUCACACCCUGUUUGUAGAAUACAUUUGUACCUCAUUCAGGCUAUAAUGGAAAGUUGGAAUAAGAAACUAACUACAGCUGCUAGGGAUGGAGAUAUAGAAGCCUUAAAAUUAAGCCUACAGAAUGGUGCAGACAUUGAUUAUCUAAAUGUAAGU